UACAGGAGGGUGCGAGCGUUAAUCGGAAUUACUGGGCGUAAAGCGCGCGUAGGCGGCUUUGCAAGUCGGGGUGUGAAAUCCCCCAGGCUUAACCUGGGAACUGCAUUCGAGACUGCAUUGCUAGAGUAUGGGAGAGGGAAGUGGAAUUUCCGGUGUAGCGGUGAAAUGCGUAGAUAUCGGAAGGAACAUCAGUGGCGAAAGCGGGUCUCUGGGGCCGAUACUGACGCUGAGGAGCGAAAGCGUGGGGAGCGAACAGG
rnacentral:rRNA from 1 species